CUAGCCGUAAACGAUGGACACUAGGUGUUGGUGGUAUCAACCCCACCAGUGCCGAAGCUAACGCAUUAAGUGUCCCGCCUGGGGANAACGCGAAGAACCUUACCAGGGCUUGACAUGACCAGGAAUCCGGCGGAAACGUCGGCGCCCCGCAAGGGGCCUGGCCACAGGUGU
rnacentral:rRNA from 1 species